rnacentral:piRNA from 1 species
UCUGAAGUAACACUGUUUUACUCGCCUCA